CCUACGGGAGGCAGCAGUGAGGAAUAUUGGUCAAUGGCCGGAAGGCUGAACCAGCCAUGCCGCGUGAAGGUCAGUGCCCUAUGGGCGUUAAACUUCUUUUGUGCGGGAGCAAUAAUGGUCACGUGUGGCCAGACGAGAGUACCGUACGAAUAAGCAUCGGCUAACUCCGUGCCCGCAGCCGCGGUAAUACGGGGGAUGCAAGCGUUAUCCGGAUUUAUUGGGUUUAAAGGGUGCGUAGGCUGUGAGUUAAGUCCGCGGUGAAAUGCACCCGCUCAAAGGGGUGAAGUGCCAUUGAUACUGCCUUGCUGGAAUGUGGAUGCGGUGGGAGGAAUGUGUGGUGUAGCGGUGAAAUGCAUAGAUAUCACACAGAACACCGAUUGCGAAGGCAUCUCACGAAUCCGCGAUUGACGCUGAUGCACGAAAGCGUGGGUAUCAAACAGGAUUAGAUACCCGGGUAGUC
rnacentral:rRNA from 1 species